CCAGACUCCUACGGGAGGCAGCAGUGGGGAAUAUUGCACAAUGGGGGGAACCCUGAUGCAGCGACGCCGCGUGGGCGAGGAAGUAUUUCGGUAUGUAAAGCCCUAUCGGCAGGGAAGAAGAAAUGACGGUACCUGAAUAAGAAGCACCGGCUAAAUACGUGCCAGCAGCCGCGGUAAUACGUAUGGUGCAAGCGUUAUCCGGAUUUACUGGGUGUAAAGGGGGCGCAGACGGCGAUGCAAGCCAGGAGUGAAAGCCCGGGGCCCAACCCCGGGACUGCUCUUGGAACUGCGUGGCUGGAGUGCAGGAGGGGCAGGCGGAAUUCCUGGUGUAGCGGUGAAAUGCGUGGAUAUCAGGAGGAACACCGGUGGCGAAGGCGGCCUGCUGGACCGCGACUGACGUUGAGGCUCGAAAGCGUGGGGAGCGAACAGGAUUAGAUACCCCAGUACG
rnacentral:rRNA from 1 species